rnacentral:rRNA from 1 species
UGCAGUCGAACGGUAGCAGGAAGUGCUUGCACUUUGCUGACGAGUGGCGGACGGGUGAGUAAUACUUAGGAACAUGCCUUUGUGUGGGGGAUAACCAUUGGAAACGAUGGCUAAUACCGCAUAAUGUCUUUGGACCAAAGAGGGCUUUCGGGCUCUCGCGCAAAGAGUGGCCUAAGUGAGAUUAGCUUGUUGGUGAGGUAAAGGCUCACCAGGGCGACGAUCUCUAGCUGUUCUGAGAGGAAGAUCAGCCACACUGGGACUGAGACACGGCCCAGACUCCUACGGGAGGCAGCAGUGGGGAAUAUUGCACAAUGGGGGCAACCCUGAUGCAGCCAUGCCGCGUGUGUGAAGAAGGCCUUCGGGUUGUAAAGCACUUUCAGUUGUGAGGAAAGGUUGGUGGUUAAUACCCAUCAGCUGUGACGUUAGCAACAGAGGAAGCACCGGCUAACUCCGUGCCAGCAGCCGCGGUAAUACGGAGGGUGCGAGCGUUAAUCGGAAUUACUGGGCGUAAAGCGCACGCAGGCGGUUUGUUAAGCUAGAUGUGAAAGCCCCGGGCUCAACCUGGGACGGUCAUUUAGAACUGGCAGACUAGAGUCUUGGAGAGGGGAGUGGAAUUCCAGGUGUAGCGGUG